GCCUUGGGAGAUGCAAUAGGAAUUAUCUCUUCACUCUGGCGGGUUUUCCUGAAAGUACUUAUCCUCAGCAUCCGCGCUGUGAGAGGUGGAGCCUCGCAGUCCGGCGGCUGCAGUCAGAAGGAUGAAGACGGAAUCCAUUUCAAUCUGAGAUUUGUCUUUCAUGGCUGCAGUCGGGCAUUCCUCUGAUUUCUUGUUUCACUGGUUAGAUGGAUGAUCCGUUCCAGCCCAACUCAAGUGUUCUAAUAGAGACUCCUUUGGUCUGAUAUGAGAUCUCUCAUUGGUCAGUACAAUGAAGGUUGAUGGCAUAAUCGUCUACUUUGCAUCAAAGGAUAUCUACUCAUCGGUGUGCUGUUAGCAAUCAGAGGUUUCCAAAUAUGAGUUCCCCAACUCGAAGAAAAGUAGCUAGAUCCAGGCGGAAAGGUGUCUGGGAACUCUCUGACUGCGCAUGAUGCAUCUCCAGAGAAAGUUGCUUCAGCAUUCUUUUUUGUUUUUGUUUUUGGAAUACUUCUCUCUAUACUAUCCUCCAGACUCUAAACUACUAAUUAGGUUCCUGAGUUCAUCCAGAUCUGACCCAUAUCUGAAUUCUUGAUCCUCUUCCCACCCUCUGACCCCACAGAUAAAGAAGAAAUAAAA